CUAAUACAUGCAAGUAGAACGCUGAAGAGAGGAGCUUGCUCUUCUUGGAUGAGUUGCGAACGGGUGAGUAACGCGUAGGUAACCUGCCUUGUAGCGGGGGAUAACUAUUGGAAACGAUAGCUAAUACCGCAUAACAAUGGAUGACACAUGUCAUUUAUUUGAAAGGGGCAAUUGCUCCACUACAAGAUGGACCUGCGUUGUAUUAGCUAGUAGGUGAGGUAACGGCUCACCUAGGCGACGAUACAUAGCCGACCUGAGAGGGUGAUCGGCCACACUGGGACUGAGACACGGCCCAGACUCCUACGGGAGGCAGCAGUAGGGAAUCUUCGGCAAUGGGGGCAACCCUGACCGAGCAACGCCGCGUGAGUGAAGAAGGUUUUCGGAUCGUAAAGCUCUGUUGUAAGUCAAGAACGAGUGUGAGAGUGGAAAGUUCACACUGUGACGGUAGCUUACCAGAAAGGGACGGCUAACUACGUGCCAGCAGCCGCGGUAAUACGUAGGUCCCGAGCGUUGUCCGGAUUUAUUGGGCGUAAAGCGAGCGCAGGCGGUUUGAUAAGUCUGAAGUUAAAGGCUGUGGCUCAACCAUAGUUCGCUUUGGAAACUGUCAAACUUGAGUGCAGAAGGGGAGAGUGGAAUUCCAUGUGUAGCGGUGAAAUGCGUAGAUAUAUGGAGGAACACCGGUGGCGAAAGCGGCUCUCUGGUCUGUAAC
rnacentral:rRNA from 1 species